rnacentral:rRNA from 1 species
AUUGAACGCUGGCGGCAUGCUUUACACAUGCAAGUCGAACGGUAACAGGCCUUCGGGUGCUGACGAGUGGCGAACGGGUGAGUAAUGCAUCGGAACGUACCCAGAGGUGGGGUAUAACGCAGCGAAAGCUGUGCUAAUACCGCAUGUGAUCUGAGGAUGAAAGCGGGGGACCGAGCAGCAAUGUUUGGCCUCGCGCCUUUGGAGCGGCCGAUGUCGGAUUAGCUAGUUGGUGGGGUAAGGGCCUACCAAGGCGACGAUCCGUAGCUGGUCUGAGAGGACGACCAGCCACACUGGGACUGAGACACGGCCCAGACUCCUACGGGAGGCAGCAGUGGGGAAUUUUGGACAAUGGGCGCAAGCCUGAUCCAGCAAUGCCGCGUGCGGAAGAAGGCCUUCGGGUUGUAAACCGCUUUUGGCAGGAACGAAACGGUGUCCGCUAAUACCGGGCGCUAAUGGCGGUACCUGCAGAAUAAGCACCGGCUAACUACGUG